UUAUGAUGAUGUCAGUCUAUCUACUGCUGGUGAUGCUGGGACUCUUUGUACAAGGAUCAAUGGCAGAUAUAGUUCUGACUCAGUCUCCAGUAGCUCGGUCUGUUCAGAUGGGAGACACUGUCUCUAUCAGCUGUACAGCCAGUGAGAGUGUUUACUACUCCGAUAUUAGCGAGAACUUCCUCAGCUGGUACCUGCAGAAACCUGGUCAGGCUCCUAAACUUCUGAUUUACUGGGCCACAAAUCGCCAGUCUGGGAUUCCUGAUCGUUUCAGUGGGAGUGGAUCUGGGACUCAGUUCACACUGAAAAUCACUGGAGUCCAGGCUGAAGAUGCAGGAGAUUAUUACUGUCAGUGUUUAGAUAUCAGUGGUAGCGUGGUGUUCACACAGUGAUAGAGAGCCGUACAAAAACCUCCCUCAGUCAGACUGCACAGAGACUGCACUGCUGCAGCUGGGACCUACUGCAGGUGCUGAGGGGGGAGUCACUGAUCUGUGACCCUGAGGGGCUCUGCUCAAAUUCUGAGCUGUUUUAUGCAUUAAUAUCUCUCAUAUUCUGAUAUUUAAUUAAAUUUAGCCAAAUGUUAAUGUGAGCACAUCCAAACCUUCCUGUUAUGAUCCAUUUUAAUUAUAUUAGCAUAAACCUUUCAUUGAAGGAAUACACUUGAGAUACUGGCACUUAUACACUUGAGAUAUAAGUACUUUGUAAACUCAAAGAAAAGAUGCACAGAUUUAACUAAAGACUGGAGUGGUGA